rnacentral:rRNA from 1 species
UCCAGACUCCUACGGGAGGCAGCAGUGGGGAAUAUUGCACAAUGGGGGAAACCCUGAUGCAGCGACGCCGCGUGAGUGAAGAAGUAUUUCGGUAUGUAAAGCUCUAUCAGCAGGGAAGAAAUACUGACCUUACGGUCAGCAGACGGUACCUGACUAAGAAGCCCCGGCUAACUACGUGCCAGCAGCCGCGGUAAUACGUAGGGGGCAAGCGUUAUCCGGAUUUACUGGGUGUAAAGGGAGCGUAGGUGGCAUGGCAAGCCAGAAGUGAAAACCCGGGGCUUAACCCCGCGGAUUGCUUUUGGAACUGUCAGGCUGGAGUGUAGGAGGGGCAGGCGGAAUUCCUGGUGUAGCGGUGAAAUGCGUAGAUAUACGGAGGAACACCAGUGGCGAAGGCGGCCUGCUGGACAAUAACUGACGCUGAGGCGCGAAAGCGUGGGGAGCAAACAGGAUUAGAUACCCGAGUA